GUGACGCUGAGAUUCGUUAGACCCUUCAACUGAAUGACACGUGUAGGAUUAACAAUAACCGACCUAAACAAAAAGCAACCACUCAUCCCACUCUUGCCUCACAUUUUCAAUUUUCAAUUUCAAAAAACUAUCGUUCUCUCUCCGUCACCGAGAUCUGAGAUCUACGAUCCGCCGUCAACGAUGGCUCUCCGACUUGUAUACGUUGUGGCGUUCAUCUCAGCAUCAUGCGCUUUCUUCAUGAUCCUCCACCUUCUCCUCCAGCCUGUCUUCUAUUUCACCACCACCUGAUCGAAUCGACCGACAUACAACCUCCAGGUUUCAGCUGAUGUGUGAAUGUAUGCCACCACACGCCGCCGCACUUUUCUUCGCCGGCGAUCUGCAUAUCUUGUAUGAAUUCAAUUUCAUGGUGCAUGUAUGGAGGUUUCCGGCUCGUUUGGAGCCAAUCGCGAUGAUUUUGACAUAUCACUGUAAUCAUAUCAAAUGAUACUAUAUAUAACAUAGAUUAUUCAAACCUGA